rnacentral:rRNA from 1 species
CUUUACUGCAACUUGACGUUGGAACUUGGCUGUAUUUGUGUAGGAUAGGUGGGAGACUUUGAAGCAGGGCCGCCAGGUCUUGCGGAGUCGUCGUUGAAAUACCACCCUGGUGCUGACGAGUUUCUAACCGGGUCCGUAAGCCGGAUCCGAGACAGUGUCUGGUGGGCAGUUUGACUGGGGCGGUCGCCUCCUAAAAGGUAACGGAGGCAUUCAAAGGUCCCCUCAGCGUGGUCGGUAAUCACGCGCAGAGUGCAAACGCAUAAGGGGGCUUAACUGCGAGACCGACAGGUCGAGCAGGUACGAAAGUAGGAGUUAGUGAUCCCGCGGUUUAGCGUGGAAUUGCCGUUGCUCAAUGGAUAAAAGGUA